rnacentral:tRNA from 1 species
GUUUUAAUAAUUUAAUAAAAAAUACUGGUCUUGUAAACCAGAAAUAAGGAAAUCUUUUAAAACU